rnacentral:rRNA from 1 species
GAUGAACGCUGGCGGCGUGCCUAAUACAUGCAAGUCGAGCGAACAGACGAGGAGCUUGCUCCUCUGACGUUAGCGGCGGACGGGUGAGUAACACGUGGAUAACCUACCUAUAAGACUGGGAUAACUUCGGGAAACCGGAGCUAAUACCGGAUAAUAUAUUGAACCGCAUGGUUCAAUAGUGAAAGACGGUUUUGCUGUCACUUAUAGAUGGAUCAGCGCCGCAUUAGCUAGUUGGUAAGGUAACGGCUUACCAAGGCAACGAUGCGUAGCCGACCUGAGAGGGUGAUCGGCCACACUGGAACUGAGACACGGUCCAGACUCCUACGGGAGGCAGCAGUAGGGAAUCUUCCGCAAUGGGCGAAAGCUUGACGGAGCAACGCCGCGUGAGUGAUGAAGGUCUUCGGAUCGUAAAACUCUGUUAUUAGGGAAGAACAAUUGUGUAAGUAACUAUGCACGUCUUGACGGUACCUAAUCAGAAAGCCACGGCUAACUACGUG